GACGGAGGGUGCUAGCGUUGUCCGGAAUUACUGGGCGUAAAGGGCGCGUAGGCGGCCUGGUCAGUCGGAUGUGAAAGCCCGGGGCUCAACCCCGGAACGGCAUCCGAGACGGCCAGGCUGGAGACCGGGAGAGGAGAGUGGAAUAGCCAGUGUAGAGGUGAAAUUCGUAGAUAUUGGCUGGAACACCGGUGGCGAAAGCGGCUCUCUGGCCCGGUUCUGACGCUGAGGCGCGAAAGCGUGGGGAGCAAACAGG
rnacentral:rRNA from 1 species